ensembl:lncRNA
CAGACCCACUGAUUUCAGUGGUAACUCAGCACCAACAACAACACCUACGACCACAAUCAAACAAUAAGGAUGCACUCUUUUAUUCUCUUUAGUGCAGGUAAUGAAAGGUUCUGAAAGAUGGCAUAUCCAUGUAGCUUACUAAUAAAAAAUAAUAAAAUGUAUAAAUAAAAUGCAUACAAAAAAGGUUGACAUAUGACCCACUAUGUUCUGCUCCAUAUACCCAAUGUUGACAACGUCCAGGCCAAAGAGUAUUGGUAUUAAUACUUCAUUCAUUGUCCAAAAUAAUCCAUAAUAAUUCAAAUCGGGUUUUGUUGUGGGUACAAAAUUAAUCUUGAAGAAAACUCGUCCCAAGCGUCCCCGGCGAAAUUAUCAUCUAUGAUUUGAUGACUGAUUUCAACGAUCAAUGAUUGUAACCCACCACAAACUGUUGUCAAGAAGUCACAAAUAUAUAGUACUUAACUUUGCAAUUAUCAGAUAAAGAUUAUUGGUGGCCAAGUGCCUCACUUUAGCGUCCUUCACCCAUCCAGCCACAGCAUUAUUGGUAGGCAUCAGUGCUCUUGAACGCUUUCAAGAUAUCGCCACUGUAUGGGGAGGGGUUGUGGACUAAAUAAAUACAUAUGUCAUGAAAAUUGAUUUGAGGCAAGCGUGAGGCCGAUACUAAUGGACUAAAAAAAACUGGGGGUAACAAAUAAGGUUCGGAGCCUGAAAUCGGCGUUCCAGAAAACGUGACGUAGAUGAACCGUAUGAAUUCAUACGGUUCAUCUAUCAUCUAUCAUUUAUCAAAUUAAAACAUAGGGGGUAACACUGUUGUUUUUCUUUGGUCGUCAUGAAAAAAAACACAAGGGGUAACACUGUCGUUUUAAUCAAACGAAACAUGAGGGGUAAUAUCCUUGUUUUUAUCAAAUGAAACAUAAGGGGUGACACUGUCAUUUUUCUUUGGUCGUCAUGAAAAAAACCAUAAGGGUUAACACUGUCGUUUUUUAUCGGUCGUCAAGAAAAAAAACAAAAGGGGUAACACUGUCGUUUUUUAUUGGUCGUCAUGAAAAAAAACAUAAGGGGUAACACUGUCGUUUUUUUAUUGGUCGUCAUGAAAAAAAACAUAAGGGGUAACACUGUCGUUUUUUAUUGGUCGUCAUGAAAAAAAACAUAAGGGGUAAAACUGUUGUUUUUUAUCGGUCGUCAUGAAGAAAAAACAUAAGAUAUGUCGAUAUUUAUCAAUCAAAAUAUAGGGGGUAACACUGUCGUUUUUAUCAAAUGAAACAUGAGGUCAUAUAUAACCUCAGACAUAAUUAAAUUAUAUAUCUCAGUGAGAAGUGGAGAGAGCUGUGAGCUAUCCCCCUGGAGACCGGGGUUCAAGUCCGGUAGAAGUCUUCCGUUGGACGUCUCUUAUUUCUAUUUCAUGCGAAUUAUAAAGUCAAGUAUAACCAUUGUGAUGACAUUAUUUGGUGUCAUGAUGGUGCUUUGAUAAGUUCGGAGGUUUACACUCUAAACAGCACAGGUACGGAUCCCUGCAAAAACCUCAACAGGGGUACCACUGUUGUUUUUUAUUGGUCGUCAUGAAAAAAAACAUAAGGGGUAACACUGUUGUUUUUUAUUGGUUGUCAUGAAAAAAAACAUAAGGGGUAACACUGUUGUUUUUUAUUGGUCGUCAUGAAAAAAAACAUAAGGGGUAACACUGUUGUUUUUAUUG